rnacentral:rRNA from 1 species
UACAGAGGGUGCGAGCGUUGUUCGGAAUUAUUGGGCGUAAAGGGCGCGUAGGCGGCGCCACAAGUCACUUGUGAAAACUCUGGGCUCAACCCAGAGCCUGCAGGCGAAACUGUGGUGCUGGAGUAUGGGAGAGGUGCGUGGAAUUCCGGUGUAGCGGUGAAAUGCGUAGAUAUCGGGAGGAACACCUGUGGCGAAAGCGGCGCACUGGACCAUAACUGACGCUGAGGCGCGAAAGCUAGGGGAGCAAACAGG